rnacentral:rRNA from 1 species
UUCCGGUUGAUCCUGCCGGACCCCACUGCUAUCGAGGUGGGACUAAGCCAUGCCAGUCGAACGACCCGGACUAUGGCGGGGAGUGGCAGACUGCUCAGUAACACGUAGCUAACCUACCCUCGGGACGGGGAUAACCCCGGGAAACUGGGGCUAAUACCCGAUAGGUAUGGAUUCCUGGAAUGGUGCCAUGCCUAAACGUAAGCACAUCCAUGUUUGUGUGCACGCCCGAGGAUGGGGCUGCGGCCGAUCAGGCAGUUGGUGAGGUAAUGGCUCACCAAACCUUUGACCGGUACGGGCCAUGAGAGUGGUAGCCCGGAGAUGGGCACUGAGACAAGGGCCCAGGCCCUACGGGGCGCAGCAGUUGCGAAAACCCCGCAAUGCACGAAAGUGUGACGGGGCUACCCCGAGUGCCGUCCGCUGAGGAUGGCUUUUCUCCGCUGUAAGGAGGCGGAGGAAUAAGGAGAGGGCAAGACUGGUGUCAGCCGCCGCGGUAAUACCAGCUCUCCGAGUGGUAGGGGUGAUUAUUGGGCUUAAAGCGUCCGUAGCCGGCCUGGCAAGUCUUCCGUUAAAUCCAGCAACCUAAUUGUUGGGCUGCGGGGGAUACUGUUAGGCUUGGGGGUGGGAGAGGCCGACGGUAUUCUCGGGGUAGGGGUGAAAUCUUAUAAUCCCGAGAGGACCACCAGUGGCGAAUGCUGUCGGCUAGCACGCGCCUGACGGUGAGGGACGAAAGCUGGGGGAGCGAACCGGAUUAGAUACCCGGGUAGUCCCUGCUGUAAACGAUGCGAGCUAGUGUUGGGGCGGCUACGAGCCGCUUCAGUGCCGCAGCGAAAGCGUUAAGCUCGCCGCUGGGGAGUACGGCCGCAAGCUGAAACUUAAGGAAUUGGCGGGGGAUCACCACAAGUCGUGAAGCUUGCGGUUCAAUUGGAGUUCAAC